GAAAAAUUCACACAUUCAUUGCUACCAUAUACUGCUGCUAUCCAAGAAAAAAAAACGUUAAAUGUUUUAUUUUUCAAAACAAACAAAAAUUCCAUUCCGAAUAACAUCAUCAUUUUUCUUCUGAGCCGGAAUCGAAAACACUGAUUAUUCUGAAUUAUUUCUUGGUAUCAUGUACAUAUUGGGUUUCUUUUCAACGACAAUCAUUUUAUUCAUUCUAUUCUUAUUCAUCAUGUGGUUACGUGAACGUUUUUGUCUUAAACGUCGACAACAACAACAACAACAACAACAAUUACGAAGACAAUCAACAAUAAUGAAUCAUAAACAAAGACAAUCAAGUCUUAUUGUACCGGAUAGGAUUGUAAUUAAAUCAUCAUUAUCAUCAUCAUCACAAAUGAAUCGACUACCGCCGGCACCAUUACCGCCAUUAGAAAGAAAAAUGCGUAUCGUUUCCAUGCCAAAUUCUUAGCAUUGCAUGUAAUUAAUUAAUUAAUCCCAGAAUGUCACCAAAUUGCUGCCUUUUUGUAAUAAUAAAUA